GACGAACCGUGCGAACGUUAUUCGGAAUCACCGGGCUUAAAGGGCGCGUAGGCGGGCCGAAAAGUCAGGGGUGAAAUCCUCCAGCCCAACUGGAGAAGCGCCUUUGGUACUGUCGGCCUCGAGGGGUGCAGGGGCAUGCGGAACUCAGGGUGGAGCGGUGAAAUGCGUAGAUAUCCUGAGGAACACCGGUGGCGAAAGCGGCGUGCUGGACACCUACUGACGCUGAGGCGCGAAAGCCAGGGGAGCGAACGGG
rnacentral:rRNA from 1 species